GUAACUAUAGUUUAAUGGUAGAACCAUCGUAUGUGGAACGAUAUAUCUGAGUUCAAUUCUCAGUAGUUAUC